rnacentral:rRNA from 1 species
UGACCUCAAAUCAGGACUACCCGCUGAACUUAGCAUAUCAUAGCGAGAAAUCACUAGUCCCUGCAGUCGAU